rnacentral:lncRNA from 1 species
UAUAAUAGCAUCAGAAGAUAGAGUUGAUUUUAAUUAAGUACGUGUCAUCCUCUAACUGAAGAGAUAAGAAACUAAGGAAAUUAAAUAGGAAAUGGGAACACGUAAUUUCAAUUCAGUGGAAAUAUCUUAGCAUUUCGUACUGCAAAGGGCAGAAAGCCAGAAACACUCAUACAUACUGGUAAGCUCUGGUUUUAAAAAGCAGAUAGAUGAUGGAAGCAGAAUAUUUUUCUUUUUUUUCUUUUUUUAUGGAAAGAUUGGGGGUUCACUAGAGAUGAUGGAUCUCAAAAUUCUUUAAAAAAAUCAGAGGAAUUUUUCUUAUUUCAGAUGAGAAGGAUGUUAAGAUUGCUUACCUUGGUGAGUAGGUUGAUGGGGUAUGG